UACGUAUGGGGCAAGCGUUAUCCGGAUUCAUUGGGCGUAAAGAGCGCGUAGGUGGCUUGUUAAGCGAGAUGUGAAAACCGGGGGCUCAACCCGCGGCCUGCAUCUCGAACUGGCAGGCUUGAGUCUGGUAGAGGAGUGUGGAAUUCCUAGUGUAGCGGUGAAAUGCGCAGAUAUUAGGAGGAACACCAGUGGCGAAGGCGGCACUCUGGGCCAGCACUGACACUGAGGCGCGAAAGCUAGGGGAGCAAACAGG
rnacentral:rRNA from 1 species